AGCAGCCGCGGUAAUUCCAGCUCCAAUAGCGUAUAUUAAAGUUGUUGCAGUUAAAAAGCUCGUAGUUGAAUUUCGGGGUCAGUAGGUUGGUCAUGCCACUGGUGUGUACUGGCCUCACUGAUUCCUCCUUCCUGAUGAGCCGUAAUGCCAUUAAUUUGGUGUUGCGAGGAAUCUGGACUGUUACUUUGAAAAAUUAGAGUGUUUAAAGCAGGCUAACGCUUGAAUACAUUAGCAUGGAAUAAUGAAAUAGGACGUUCGAUCUUAUUUUGUUGGUUUCUUAAGAUUGACGUAAUGAUUAAUAGGGAUAGUUGGGG
rnacentral:rRNA from 1 species